rnacentral:rRNA from 1 species
UAGAGUUUGAUCCUGGCUCAGGAUGAACGCUAGCGGCAGGCCUAACACAUGCAAGUCGAGGGGCAGCAUUAUUUAAGUUUACUUAGAUAGAUGGCGACCGGCGCACGGGUGCGUAACGCGUGAGCAACAUACCUUAUUCAGGGGGAUAACCCAGAGAAAUCUGGACUAAUACCGCAUAGUACUUAUUGACGGCAUCGUUAGUAAGUUAAAGAUUUAUUGGAAUAAGAUUGGCUCGCGUGACACUAGUUAGAUGGUAAGGUAACGGCUUACCAUGACUACGAUGUCUAGGGGAACUGAGAGGCCAAUCCCCCACACUGGAACUGAGACACGGUCCAGACUCCUACGGGAGGCAGCAGUGAGGAAUAUUGGACAAUGGAUGGAAAUCUGAUCCAGCCAUGCCGCGUGAAGGCUAGGGCCCUAUGGGUCUUCAACUUCUUUUGUAUGGGAGCAAUAAGGACUACGUGUAGUCUGAUGAGAGUACCAUACGAAUAAGCACCGGCUAACUCCGUGCCAGCAGCCGCGGUAAUACGGAGGGUGCAAGCGUUAUCCGGAUUUAUUGGGUUUAAAGGGUGCGUAGGCGGAUUUACAAGUCAGUGGUGAAAUUUAGGGGCUCAACCUCUACCGUGCCAUUGAAACUGUAAGUCUGGAAUACGGUUGCCGUGGGAGGAAUGUGUAGUGUAGCGGUGAAAUGCAUAGAUAUUACACAGAACACCGAUUGCGAAGGCAUCUCACGAAACCGUCAUUGACGCUGAGGCACGAAAGUGUGGGGAUCAAACAGGAUUAGAUACCCUGGUAGUCCACACGGUAAACGAUGAUAACUAGCUGUUUGCGAUAUACAGUAAGUGGCUAAGCGAAAGCGAUAAGUUAUCCACCUGGGGAGUACGUUCGCAAGAAUGAAACUCAAAGGAAUUGACGGGGGCCCGCACAAGCGGAGGAACAUGUGGUUUAAUUCGAUGAUACGCGAGGAACCUUACCCGGGCUCGAACGGUAUGUGAACGCGGUAGAGAUACCAAGGUCUGCAAAGACACAUAUCGAGGUGCUGCAUGGUUGUCGUCAGCUCGUGCCGUGAGGUGUCGGCUUAAGUGCCAUAACGAGCGCAACCCUUGUCGAUAGUUGCCAUCAGGUCAUGCUGGGGACUCUAUCGAGACUGCCACCGUAAGGUGUGAGGAAGGGGGGGAUGACGUCAAAUCAGCACGGCCCUUAUGUCCGGGGCGACACACGUGUUACAAUGGUAGGUACAGAGGGCAGCUACAUAGUGAUAUGAUGCAAAUCUCGAAAACCUAUCUCAGUUCGGAUUGGAGUCUGCAACUCGACUCCAUGAAGUUGGAUUCGCUAGUAAUCGCGCAUCAGCCAUGGCGCGGUGAAUACGUUCCCGGGCCUUGUACACACCGCCCGUCAAGCCAUGGAAGCUGGGGGUGCCUGAAGUUCGAGACCGCAAGGAUCGACCUAGGGCAAAACUGGUAACUGGGGCUAAGUCGUAACAAGGCCGUAA